AUUGAACGCUGGCGGCAGGCCUAACACAUGCAAGUCGAGCGGAUGAAGGGAGCUUGCUCCUGGAUUCAGCGGCGGACGGGUGAGUAAUGCCUAGGAAUCUGCCUGGUAGUGGGGGAUAACGUCCGGAAACGGGCGCUAAUACCGCAUACGUCCUGAGGGAGAAAGUGGGGGAUCUUCGGACCUCACGCUAUCAGAUGAGCCUAGGUCGGAUUAGCUAGUUGGUGGGGUAAAGGCCUACCAAGGCGACGAUCCGUAACUGGUCUGAGAGGAUGAUCAGUCACAGUGGAACUGAGACACGGUCCAGACUCCUACGGGAGGCAGCAGUGGGGAAUAUUGGACGAUGGGCGAAAGCCUGAUCCAGCCAUGCCGCGUGUGUGAAGAAGGUCUUCGGAUUGUAAAGCGCUUUAAGUUGGGAGGAAGGGCAGUAAGUUAAUACCUUGCUGUUUUGACGUUACCAACAGAAUAAGCACCGGCUAACUUCGG
rnacentral:rRNA from 1 species